ACUGUUCAGUCCUUUCAGAGACACUGACACACAGUACAAUGAUGAUGUUGUCACUGAUUCUACUGGGGACCCUGGGGCUCCUUGUUCAGGAAUCUUCAGCAGAUAUAAUCCUGACCCAGUCUCCUAAAUCUCAGUCUGUUAGUCCAGGAGAGACUGUGUCCAUCAGCUGUUCAACCAGUGCAAGUGUUAGUUCUUAUCUCAACUGGUACCUACAAAAACCUGGAGAAUCUCCUAAACUUCUAGUUUAUUAUGCUACAAACCGUCAGCAAGGGAUUCCAGAUCGUUUCAGUGGGAGUGGAUCUGGUUCUCAAUUCACUCUGACCAUCAGUGGAAUCCAGGGUGAAGAUACAGGAGAUUAUUACUGUCAGCAGUCUGCCAACUAUCCGGUCACUUUUGGUGGAGGCACCAGACUGGACAUCGGACGUGAUGUCCGUCCCACCCUGACAGUCCUUCCCCCCUCCAGUGUGGAGCUGCAGCAGGGAAAGGCCACUCUCAUGUGUCUGGCUAACAAGGGCUUCCCCUCAGGCUGGAGUCUGAACUGGAAGGUAGAUGGAGUCAGCACCACCCGGGAGGUGACAGGGAGCCCCGGGGUCCUGGACAAGAAUGGCCUCUACAGCUGGAGCAGCACGCUGACCCUCCCUGUGGACCAGUGGAGGAAGGUGGGCUCUGUGACCUGUGAGGCCAACCAGGGCUCCCAGGCUCCUCUCUCUGAGACACUGAGGAGAGAACAGUGUUCUGAAUGAGCUCCUCCUCUGAAUCCUUCAUCCAGCUGCAUGGAGCUUUUAGCACUUGGCCUUUUCAUACCAUGUUUUAAUGUAAUUGCUUCUUGGCUGUGGUAACAAUACAUUUAUAAAGGUUUUUGCAAUCAUAACUUUAGAUAUCAAUGUUGAAUAAAAAUAGAAAUAAGACUUCUUUA